AGGUCUCGUGAGUUUUAUAUAUAGAAGAGAGAAACCAGUUUGGUUGGCAUGAGUGGCUGUGCACUCUCGUCCCUUAAGAGAGGUUCGGAGUUUGAACUCCCUCUCGUAUG